rnacentral:rRNA from 1 species
GAACGAACGCUGGCGGCGUGCCUAACACAUGCAAGUCGAACGGAAUUGAGGGGCUUGCUCUUCAAUUUAGUGGCGCACGGGUGAGUAACGCGUGGAUAAUCUGCCCUGGUAUCUGGGAUAACAUUUCGAAAGGAGUGCUAAUACCGGAUAAGCCCACGGGGUCUUCGGACCUUGCGGGAAAAGGUGGCCUCUGAAUAUGCUACUGUAUCAGGAUGAGUCCGCGUCCCAUUAGCUAGUUGGCGGGGUAACGGCCCACCAAGGCGACGAUGGGUAGCUGGUCUGAGAGGAUGAUCAGCCACACUGGAACUGAGACACGGUCCAGACUCCUACGGGAGGCAGCAGUGGGGAAUUUUGCGCAAUGGGGGAAACCCUGACGCAGCAACGCCGCGUGAGUGAUGAAGGCCCUCGGGUCGUAAAGCUCUGUCAGAGGGAAAGAAGUGUGUGGUGGCUAAUACCUGCUACACUUGACGGUACCCUCAAAGGAAGCACCGGCUAACUCCGUGCCAGCAGCCGCGGUAAUACGGAGGGUGCGAGCGUUGUUCGGAAUUAUUGGGCGUAAAGCGCGUGUAGGCGGUUUUUUAAGUCUGAUGUGAAAGCCCUGGGCUCAACCCGGGAAGUGCAUUGGAAACUGGGAGACUUGAAUACGGGAGAGGGUAGUGGAAUUCCUAGUGUAGGAGUGAAAUCCGUAGAUAUUAGGAGGAACACCGGUGGCGAAGGCGGCUACCUGGACCGAUAUUGACGCUGAGACGCGAAAGCGUGGGGAGCAAACAGGAUUAGAUACCCUGGUAGUCCACGCCGUAAACGAUGAGUACUAGGUGUCGCGGGUAUUGACCCCUGCGGUGCCGCAGCUAACGCAUUAAGUACU